rnacentral:rRNA from 1 species
CAGCCGUAAACUAUGCGCGUUAGGUGUAUCGGUGACCACGAGUUACCGAGGUGCCGAAGGGAAACCGUGAAACGUGCCGCCUGGGAAGUACGGUCGCAAGGCUGAAACUUAAAGGAAUUGGCGGGGGAGCACCACAACAGGUGGAGCCUGCGGUUUAAUUGGACUCAACGCCGGGAAGCUCACCGGAUAGGACAGCAGAAUGAUUGCCGGCUGAAGACCCUGCAUGACUAGCUGAGAGGAGGUGCAUGGCGUAGACGUCU